GAGCGAAUGGAUUAAGAGCUUGCUCUUAUGAAGUUAGCGGCGGACGGGUGAGUAACACGUGGGUAACCUGCCCAUAAGACUGGGAUAACUCCGGGAAACCGGGGCUAAUACCGGAUAACAUUUUGAACCGCAUGGUUCGAAAUUGAAAGGCGGCUUCGGCUGUCACUUAUGGAUGGACCCGCGUCGCAUUAGCUAGUUGGUGAGGUAACGGCUCACCAAGGCAACGAUGCGUAGCCGACCUGAGAGGGUGAUCGGCCACACUGGGACUGAAACACGGCCCAAACUCCUACGGGAGGCAGCAGUAGGGAAUCUUCCGCAAUGGACGAAAGUCUGACGGAGCAACGCCGCGUGAGUGAUGAAGGCUUUCGGGUCGUAAAACUCUGUUGUUAGGGAAAAACAAGUGCUAGUUGAAUAAGCUGGCACCUUGACGGUACCUAACCAAAAAGCCACGGCUAACUACGUGCCAGCAGCCGCGGUAAUACGUAGGUGGCAAGCGUUAUCCGGAAUUAUUGGGCGUAAAGCGCGCGCAGGUGGUUUCUUAAGUCUGAUGUGAAAGCCCACGGCUCAACCGUGGAGGGUCAUUGGAAACUGGGAGACUUGAGUGCAGAAGAGGAAAGUGGAAUUCCAUGUGUAGCGGUGAAAUGCGUAGAGAUAUGGAGGAACACCAGUGGCGAAGGCGACUUUCUGGUCUGUAACUGACACUGAGCGCGAAAGCGUGGGGAGCAAACAGGAUUAGAUACCCUGGUAGUCCACGCCGUAAACGAUGAGUGCUAGUGUAGAGGUUUCCGCCCUUUAGUGCUGAAGUACGCAUAGCACUCCGCUGAGAG
rnacentral:rRNA from 1 species